rnacentral:rRNA from 1 species
UACGUAGGGGGCAAGCGUUGUCCGGACUUACUGGGCGUAAAGCGCGUUCAGGCGGUUUGGCAAGUCGGGCAUGAAAUCUCUCGGCUCAACCGGGAGAGGUUGUCCGAUACUUCCAGACUUGAGGGCAGUAGAGGGUGGUGGAAUUCCGGGUGUAGUGGUGAAAUGCGUAGAUAUCCGGAGGAACACCAGUGGCGAAAGCGGCCACCUGGACUGCACCUGACGCUGACACGCGAAAGCUAGGGGAGCGAACGGG